rnacentral:rRNA from 1 species
AACGAACGCUGGCGGCAUGCCUAAUACAUGCAAGUCGAACGAGAUCUUCGGAUCUAGUGGCGCACGGGUACGUAACGCGUGGGAAUCUACCCUUGGGUUCGGAAUAACAGUUAGAAAUGACUGCUAAUACCGGAUGAUGACGUAAGUCCAAAGAUUUAUCGCCCAAGGAUGAGCCCGCGUAAGAUUAGCUAGUUGGUGAGGUAAAGGCUCACCAAGGCUACGAUCUUUAGCUGGUCUGAGAGGAUGAUCAGCCACACUGGGACUGAGACACGGCCCAGACUCCUACGGGAGGCAGCAGUAGGGAAUAUUGGACAAUGGGCGAAAGCCUGAUCCAGCAAUGCCGCGUGAGUGAUGAAGGCCUUAGGGUUGUAAAGCUCUUUUACCCGAGAUGAUAAUGACAGUAUCGGGAGAAUAAGCUCCGGCUAACUCCGUG